rnacentral:rRNA from 1 species
GACGAACGCUGGCGGCGCGCUUAACACAUGCAAGUCGAACGGAAAGGCCCUGCAUUUGUGGCGUGCUCGAGUGGCGAAGGGACGAGUAACACGUGAGUAACCUGCCCUUGACUUUGGGAUAACUCCAGGAAAAUGGGGCUAAUACCGGAUAGCAGCUCCUGAUGCAUGGCGGGGGUUGGAAAGCUUCGGCCGUUGGGGAUGGACUCGCGGCUUACCAGCUUGUUGGUGGGGUAGUGGCUUACCCAGGCUUCGACGGGUAGCCGGCCUGAGAAGGUGACCGCCCACAUUGGGACUGAGGUACGGCCCAGGCUCCUACGGGACGCAGCAGUGGGGAAUAUUCCACAAUGGGCGGAAGCGUGAUGCAGCAACGCCGCGUGCGGGAUGACGGCCGUCGGGUUGUAGACCGCUUUCGCCUGUGACGAAGCGUGAGUGACGGUAAUGGGUAAGGAAGCACCGGCUAACUACGUG